UAAUAUCCUAAUUUAUAAAUGAAAUGUAUAAUUUUGUAUAUAUAUUUUGACAGCAUUUAUUUACUUAAAAAUAUAAUCAAAAUAAUAAAGACCGUUAAAAUUAUCAAGCCUGGUUAUCCAGUCAUAGAAAUAUUCUUGUUUUCUUUGUUGAUUUGUGUUUGUUGCAAAGUGUUCAGGCCAGUGGUCCGUGAUUUAGUGGAUGAUAUUGUCGUUUUAGAUGAAAAUGAGAUUAUAAAAGCCAUGAGGCUUUGCUACGAGGUUCUUAAGUUGGCUGUGGAGCCAAGUGGAGCCAUUGGCCUUGCUGCUAUUCUCUCUGAUCAGUGUAAGCAGAAGCCUUAUUGGAAGGACAUGAGGAAAAUAUCGAUCGUUCUCUCUGGAGGUAAUGUUGAUCUUGGAGUGCUUUGGGAAUCACUCAAGUGAACCUUCCAGGUAUUUGUUUUUAUCGAUUUAGAAGUUCAGCAAGAAAUGGACAGAAAUGAAGAACUCCAGCUUUAGCUAUUUUGGCAGAAAGAAGUUUCGUCCUUGUACAAAUCUCAUCCAUUUGCUUGUCUGGAUUAAAGAGUUGGUUCCAGAUGCAUUAGACUUCUAAGAGACCAUCGGUCAAUGUUGAUGAUGAUUAUGAAAUGAUGAGCAGUGUAUCGAACGACUCUUGAUAAUGGUGAUGACUCUUGGUAAUGGUGAUGAUGAUGUACAAUAUCAUUUAGAUGAAGUGAAUGUUGAUAUGAACAUUGAGAUUCAUAGUAUGGUUCAACGUUAUUAUUACAUAAAUAUUAGCACUUUAGAAAGCAUAACAGUAAACAAUGAGUUUAUGAAGGCAUAUUUCACCACUUGUGAAUGAGAUGAGGAUGUAGGAAAUAACAGUGAAUAUAUUGGUAACCAAGUCGAGGAAAAUUUUUUAAUUUCAAUAGGUUGAUGGAUGGCAUGUGUUUUAGUAAGAAAGAGGAUCUUCAGUUUGCAUUAUAUGAUUUAUCAAUUAUAAAUAAUGUGGAAUGUGCCGUCAUAGCUUCAAACAGAAAAAUGACAAUGGUUUGUGCUCAGAAUGGCAGGUCAGACGUACCAUGUAUAUGGCGUUUGCAUGCAGGAGUGAGCGAACGUCUUGGAUGCAUAUGGAAAAUAUUUUCCAUGAAGAACCAACAUACCUGCACAACUUCGAUUCUAGCAAUAGGACACCGACAAUGCAAUCCUCACUUUAUAAGUUACUUCAUAUCACCCACUAUUAUAAGAUAUAUGGAUCUCAAGAUGCAGGAGAUUAUAGGCCAAAUUGAAGCGAAGUUCAACAUAAAAGGUUUCGUAUAUGAAAGGUUGGGAUGCCUGACGAAAAGCUGUGAAGAUAGUGUCUGGUAGCUAGGAGUCUUAUUGAAUCAUUAAUUUAUUCAUGAGCGUUGUUGUGUGUUUGAUGCCUGAAACCAUCUAUACGAUACAAACGUUUGAGAAUCAUAGAUUGAGAUAUUAUUUUUCUUGUUUGGCCCUUCGAUAAAUGAGUGGAUCUACUAUCGUUAUGUUCUUUUCCUUGAUGGGACAUUCUUACUAGGUAAAUAUCGAUGCACUUUACUUAGCGUUGUGGGAAUUGAUACUAACAACGGAUUGUAGCCCCUCGCCUUCGCGAUUGUAGAGUCAGAAUGUGUUGAUUUAUGGGUGUGAUUUCUGAACCAAAUGCAUAUACUCAUUUCGGUUGUUCGUACCCGAACUGAUUUAUGCAUUAUAUCCGACAGGCAUGCUGGUUAUGUGCAUGGUUGUCAUGAAAUUUUUUCUAAUGUUGCACAUCACCUCUAUCUAUGCUACCUAUGUGAGAACUUUAAGAAAGCAGUGCGUCAGAUAAGUGUUGCUAACGUAGAGUUUCUAUGCCAUAAGACUUACAUGGCAGGGAACACUGAUGACCCAAUGGUCUUUGAUAGGUGCAUGAUAGAUAUGAUAAAGGUAAAGGCUGAUAUUCACCGGUGGUUGGUUGAGCGUGAUGUUAGGUCAGGGCUCUAAUCUAUUAUGGUGGAUAUCAUUAUGGAGUUAUGACAACUAAUGCGUCAGAGUCAUUCAAUGGAGUUCUUAAAAGAGCUAGUGGUUUGCUCAUUCAAGCAUUGGUUAUAGCCAUUUACUAUAACGUAGUGGCAUUGCACUUGCGAAGAACAGAAAUGGUAGAGGGUUCUGAACUUCAUGCUACUAGUCCCUUCGCACCAAGAGUACAAGCCGCACUACGAAAUAUCAAGCAGGAAGCACGUAGGUUACCACAACCCAUUCGAAUCAAUAUGCCUGAGUUCCAAGUAGUUGACACAUAAUCUCAGUCUUUCAGGGUUGAUUUAAUUAAUGAUAAAAAUUGCAUUUGUAGUUGUUGGAAGAGCAUUAUAUAUCAUUUCAUGUGUGCACCCGUAGUGCAUUGUAUUUCAAUGCUCAAGCAACGUCAUCAGAAUCACAUCUCAUAAUACAACAGCUUAGACAAUUGCAAAAUGACAUAUGCUGGUUAAUUUCAUAACAUUCCAAAUCGAUAUAGUUGGGCACAAUAUGAUCCAACACGUGGCAUACACCCACUCAUUCCCCCAAAUUUUAGAAGUCGUACUAGAGACUUAGAACAAAUCAUUUUAGGAUCACAAUGAACGAGGGCAGAGUUAGAUGCAAUAUGCAAUCUAUUGCAUGUAGUUCAGUAGGACAUAACAGGGCCACUUGUCUUACUAGGUGUGCAUAAUAUUUAUUUUAUAAAUAUAAUGAUUUUUCCUUUUGUUAGUUAGCAAAUUCAAUUUAUUUGUAAAAGUAAGAAUUUUUUUUUACAUGUGAUGACUUUUGAUAUUUUUUGUUAUGAAAUGUGUUUAAUUUGUAGAAAUGAUACCGCAAUUUGUUUACACCACAAUUGUUUGUACAUGUGAUUAAUUUGUAGAAGUCAUCCGUUUUUUUUUUUUCACUUGAAUGUAUUAUUUGGUUGUGAUGGUAAUGAUUUCUCAUAUAAUUUCAUAAUAAAUGUUAUUAUUUUAUAUAAUUUGUAUGCUUUUUCUUGGUAAUUUAACUUAUUAUGUUUUUGUAAAUGUCAUGAAUAUUUCAAUUUUUUUAUACGUGCCUAAUAUUUCUUUU